rnacentral:rRNA from 1 species
CAAGUCGAACGCGAAAGGGGCUUCGGCCCUGAGUAGAGUGGCGAACGGGUGAGUAACACGUGGGUGAUCUACCUUCGAGUGGGGGAUAACGUUCCGAAAGGAGCGCUAAUACCGCAUGACGUUCUGGGUUUGAAGACCUGGAAACCAAAGUCGGGGACCGCAAGGCCUGACGCUUGAAGAGGAGCCCGCGCCUGAUUAGCUAGUUGGCGGGGUAAUGGCCCACCAAGGCAACGAUCAGUAGCCGGCCUGAGAGGGCGGACGGCCACACUGGGACUGAGACACGGCCCAGACUCCUACGGGAGGCAGCAGUGGGGAAUUGUUCGCAAUGGGCGCAAGCCUGACGACGCAACGCCGCGUGGAGGAUGAAGGUCUUCGGAUUGUAAACUCCUGUUGACCGGGAAGAAUGGGCUCCGACCUAAUACGUCGGAGCAGUGACGGUACCGGUUGAGGAAGCCACGGCUAACUCUGUGCCAGCAGCCGCGGUAAUACAGAGGUGGCAAGCGUUGUUCGGAAUUACUGGGCGUAAAGGGCGCGUAGGCGGCUCGCUAAGUCAGACGUGAAAUCCCCCGGCUUAACCUGGGAACUGCGUCUGAUACUGGCAAGCUCGAGUGCGGGAGAGGGAUGUGGAAUUCCAGGUGUAGCGGUGAAAUGCGUAGAUAUCUGGAGGAACACCGGUGGCGAAGGCGGCAUCCUGGACCGACACUGACGCUGAGGCGCGAAAGCUAGGGGAGCAAACGGGAUUAGAUACCCCGGUAGUCCUAGCCCUAAACGAUGAGUGCUUGGUGUGGCGGGUAUCGAUCCCUGCCGUGCC